rnacentral:rRNA from 1 species
AGAGUUUGAUCAUGGCUCAGAACGUACGCUGGCGGCACGCCUAACACAUGCAAGUCGAACGAAGUAGCAAUACUUAGUGGCAGUCGGGUGAGUAACAUGUAGGUAUCUGCCCUUUGGCCUGGAAUAACACGAGGAAACUUGUGCUAAUACCGGAUAAGUCUUUACGGAGAAAGCUUUAUGCACCAUUGGAUGAGCCUGCACUUGAUUAGUUUGUUGGUGGGGUAAUGGCCUACCAAGACUGUGAUCAAUAGCUGAUUUGAGAGGAUGAUCAGCCACAUUGGGACUGAGACACGGCCCAAACUCCUACGGGAGGCAGCAGUGGGGAAUCUUGCACAAUGGAGGAAACUCUGAUGCAGCGAUGCCGCGUGAGUGAAGAAGGCCUUUGGGUUGUAAAGCUCUUUCGUCGGGGAAGAAAAUGACUGUACCCGAAUAAGAAGGUCCGGCUAACUUCGUGCCAGCAGCCGCGGUAAUACGAAGGGACCUAGCGUAGUUCGGAAUUACUGGGCUUAAAGAGUUCGUAGGUGGUUGAAAAAGUUGGUGGUGAAAUCCCAGAGCUUAACUCUGGAACUGCCAUCAAAACUUUUUAGCUAGAGUAUGAUAGAGGAAAGCAGAAUUUCUAGUGUAGAGGUGAAAUUCGUAGAUAUUAGAAAGAAUACCAAUUGCGAAGGCAGCUUUCUGGAUCAUUACUGACACUGAGGAACGAAAGCAUGGGUAGCGAAGAGGAUUAGAUACCCUCGUAGUCCAUGCCGUAAACGAUGUGUGUUAGACGUUGGAAAUUUAUUUUCAGUGUCGCAGCGAAAGCGAUAAACACACCGCCUGGGGAGUACGACCGCAAGGUUAAAACUCAAAUGAAUUGACGGGGACCCGCACAAGUAGUGGAGCAUGUGGUUUAAUUCGAAGAUACGCGCAGAACCUUACCAACACUUGACAUGUUCGUCGCGACUUUAAGAGAUUAAAGUUUUCGGUUCGGCCGGACGAAACACAGGUGCUGCAUGGCUGUCGUCAGCUCGUGUCGUGAGAUGUUGGGUUAAGUCCCGCAACGAGCGCAACCCUCACUUUUAGUUGCCAUCAUUAAGUUGGGCACUCUGAAAGAACUGCCAGUGAUAAGCUGGAGGAAGGUGGGGAUGACGUCAAGUCCUCAUGGCCCUUACGUGUUGGGCUACACACGUGCUACAAUGGUAUCUACAACAGGAAGCAAGACUGCGAAGUUAAGCAAAUCCUUAAAAGAUACCUCAGUUCGGAUUGCACUCUGCAACUCGAGUGCAUGAAGCUGGAAUUACUAGUAAUCGUGGAUCAGCGUGCCACGGUGAAUGCGUUCCCGGGUCUUGUACACACCGCCCGUCACACCAUGGGAGUUGGUUCUACCUUAAGGCAAGGUUUUAAACCCUUGACCACGGUAUAGUCAGCGACUGGGGUGAAGUCGUAACAAGGUAGCCGUA